rnacentral:pre_miRNA from 1 species
GUAGUACUCCCUCCGUUCGGAAAUACUUGUCAUCAAAAUGAAUAAAAGGGGAUGUAUCUAAAUGUAUAUUAGUUCUAGAUACAUCUUUUUUAUCCAUUUUGAUGACAAGUAUUUUCGGACGGAGGGAGUACUUG